UACAGAGGUGGCAAGCGUUGUUCGGAAUUACUGGGCGUAAAGGGCGCGUAGGCGGUCCUACAAGUCCCGCGUGAAAGCCCCGGCUCAACCUGGGGAAUGGCGCGGGAAACUGUUGGGCUUGAGUUCGGGAGAGGGAAGCGGAAUUCCGGGUGUAGCGGUGAAAUGCGUAGAUAUCGGAGGAACACCGGUGGCGAAGGCGGCUUCCUGGACCGA
rnacentral:rRNA from 1 species